AUACAAAAAUGGCAGGGUAGACAUGGAGGUGGUUUUCCAAGGGUGAGGUUUAUCCAUUGCAAUCUGGAUGUGCUGACCCCUGCAAUUUCCCAUAUCUUCCCUAAGAAAAGGGAGAGUGGGGCUCAGCUCAAUUGACUGCCAUC
rnacentral:snRNA from 1 species